rnacentral:tRNA from 1 species
AGGAGUGUAGCUCAGCUGGAAGAGCAGCGGUCUCCAAAACCGCAGGUCGGGGGUUCGAAUCCCUCCACUCCUGCCA